rnacentral:rRNA from 1 species
UACGUAGGGCGCAAGCGUUGUCCGGAAUUAUUGGGCGUAAAGAGCUCGUAGGCGGUUUGUCGCGUCUGCUGUGAAAUCCCGAGGCUCAACCUCGGGCCUGCAGUGGGUACGGGCAGACUAGAGUGCGGUAGGGGAGAUUGGAAUUCCUGGUGUAGCGGUGGAAUGCGCAGAUAUCAGGAGGAACACCGAUGGCGAAGGCGGGUCUCUGGGCAGUAACUGACGCUGAGGAGCGAAAGCGUGGGGAGCGAACAGG